AAGCAGGGUUGGAGGGAUUCGUGUCGGAGAGAGGUUUUAAGAGCAAUGGUGCAGGAGACAGUUCGGGUUGUUUGUUUUUUCUGUUGAAGGGGAGAGAGAUGAUGUGUACCGUAUAUGGGACUUGUGCAAGAUCACAAAGAGAAGAACAAUGAAGGAUUUUGACAUGGUCAAACUCGACAUGGUCCGUGGCUACUUAUGUGUGUGACUUGAGUUCUCCAUGUUUUGCAAUUAAGAACCGUUGGUGACAAAUGGAUUAGAGGCACUCAGUUUUGGCACCAC